GCUAAAUUGGAAGUUCUUCACUCAGGAAUUUGCCUUUCUGUGUGAAAGGGGUAAAAGACUUUAAGGGCCUGUAUAAUGGUUGUAUGGUGGCCAGAUAGAGAAAGAAGAAAAGUGGGAAGGACGAGCAGCAUCACCCCUAGCGUGGGCACCACAUCUGGCCAUAAUACCUGGUAAUACAGUGGACAUUAGGUUCUUUGAGGACACAUUGGAUUGUUCUUAAGUCCAAAAAUGGAGGUGGAAGCCAGUCUUUAAAAAACACCCAGAGAUGACACCGCUGUAGUAACGAGGUGCACACACAUCUGGCAGCCAUUUUCCCUGGAGCUGGGAAACACCACCACAGACUGCAGCCAUUGACAACCAGAUUGCUGACACUGCUGUUUCCUGACGCCUGUGCUACAGGGGAUAUCCUGGUGAAUCCCUGCUGCGGAGAGAUCUGAAGGCGGCCACCAUGA